CCUCUAUCAAAAAUGAUCAGGCUGAAAAGAACAGUUAAGGAGCUUCUGGACAAUCCCAAGCCACUUUUUUGGCUCCUAGCCUGGAAAAACUCCUGACAGAAAGCUUGUCUGGUGCCCUUGGCAGAGACCCACAAGAUCUAGUAAAAUGCCAAAGAGAAGCAGAAUGACAUCAAGAGGGAACCACGCUGUGAGGUCAAAGGGCUACACCUGGCCAAAGGCAGAGGCCAGGACCACAACAUCAAUACACAUCAGCAGUGAAAGGAUGUGGAGGAGUGGAUGAAUGCCAACAUUUCCAGAGUACCACCCACCAGUAGGAGGAUGCAAGGCAUAUGUGAGUUUAGUGAUGGAUUUUCCACAUAAUCUGUCUGGUGCCACUGGUGAUAUGUAGGAAGACAAAUGGCAACGUGCUAAGGAUAGCCAAAUGGAAAGAUAGGAAAGAGUUUGCCUCUCUAACGACAUCACUGACAAGAUGAAUGUACACUUACAAUAUCUACUUCAAGAAUUCUUCAGACCACAGCAAAAAAUCUCUAUCAG
rnacentral:lncRNA from 1 species